ACUCCUACGGGAGGCAGCAGUGGGGAAUAUUGGACAAUGGGGGAAACCCUGAUCCAGCCAUGCCGCGUGUGUGAAGAAGGCCUUCGGGUUGUAAAGCACUUUCAGUGGGGAGGAAAGGUUGAUGGUUAAUACCUAUCAGCUGUGACGUUACCCACAGAAGAAGCACCGGCUAACUCCGUGCCAGCAGCCGCGGUAAUACGGAGGAUUCGAGCGUUAUCCGGAAUCAUUGGGUUUAAAGGGUCCGUAGGCGGUCUUAUAAGUCAGUGGUGAAAUCUUCCAGCUCAACUGGGAAACUGCCAUUGAUACUGUAGGACUUGAAUAUUUGUGAAGUAACUAGAAUAUGUAGUGUAUCGGUGAAAUGCUUAGAUAUUACAUGGAAUACCAAUUGCGAAGGCAGGUUACUAACAGAUUAUUGACGCUGAUGGACGAAAGCGUGGGUAGCGAACAGGAUUAGAUACCCUGGUAGGAUAGCGU
rnacentral:rRNA from 1 species